GCGGUUGUAGUACUUCCUGACUUCAAAAGGCAAGUCUUCCGCAUGAGGAGCGUGGAGGUUCCCAAUGGUUCCAGCUGGGGGGUCCAAAGCAGGCUCAGGAAAGCAUCCUUCCUGGAGACCAUGCCCCAAUCUGAGUCUUCUCCUCAAGCCUCCUUCGAUGUACCUCCCCAGACGCCUCAUCAUUCAUCCCCACUACCCUUCGACCCCUUUCCUUCAAUAAAAUUUUUAAACCCA